GACGAACGCUGGCGGCGUGCUUAACACAUGCAAGUCGAACGAUGAAGCGGUGCUUGCACCGUGGAUUAGUGGCGAACGGGUGAGUAAUACGUGAGUGACCUACCUUUGACUCUGGGAUAAGCCUGGGAAACUGGGUCUAAUACCGGAUACGACCAAUCUCUGCAUGGGGUGUUGGUGGAAAGCGUUAUGGAGUGGUUUUAGAUGGGCUCACGGCCUAUCAGCUUGUUGGUGAGGUAAUGGCUUACCAAGGCGACGACGGGUAGCCGGCCUGAGAGGGUGACCGGCCACACUGGGACUGAGACACGGCCCAGACUCCUACGGGAGGCAGCAGUGGGGAAUAUUGCACAAUGGGCGCAAGCCUGAUGCAGCGACGCCGCGUGAGGGAUGACGGCCUUCGGGUUGUAAACCUCUGUUAGCAUCGAAGAAGCGAAAGUGACGGAGGGCAAAAAAGCGCCG
rnacentral:rRNA from 1 species